rnacentral:lncRNA from 1 species
AUGGCUCCAAUCAAGCGAGCACCCAAAUUCCUAGAGAAAGCUGCAAACCCUAAUUUUCCCUUUCGCUGGGCACCCUGGCUCUCCUUCAGUGACCGUAGACAGGACACCAGCUGUGACCAGGGACAGGCAGGAAGGAAGCAUGCCUCUGGUGCCGGAUGGGGACGCAACCAGAGUCUCGGCCUUCUGCUGCCGUGGUGUGGAUUGAGCGUUUCAUUCACGCAAAUGCACAUUUCCUGGCAGUGCUGGGGCUGGCCUGGAAUCCAGACCUGGUCUGCUCAAGGAUGUCACAUUUAG